GGUGAACCUACGAUACGAGGCUACUUCCAGCCCAAGAAUCACUUUUCUCCUGGUCAAUGUUAUGACACUAAAAGGGGCUGGACCUUGCAGAUUUUGUUAAUGGCCAGCUUUCCAACAGCGUCCUGGGCAUCGCCUACUUCGGGGGAGUGUGCCACGUUCGUAUGAAUGUUGCCCAAUCAGAAGACGUGCCUCAUACAUACAGCAUGGUCCCUAUUUUGACGCACGAACUCGGGCACUCGCUUGGUAUGGUGCAUGACGGGGAGACAGCACAAUAUAGCACUCCUGGAAACGAACAUCGUGUAUGCGACCCAAAAGAUGGCUUCACGAUGGCUCCUGUUGCGCACGGCAAGCGGCAGGGACAGUGGUCCUCCUGCUCCUUGGACCAAGUGCGUAGAUUUGUCAGG